rnacentral:rRNA from 1 species
UACGUAGGUGGCAAGCGUUGUCCGGAUUUACUGGGCGUAAAGGGCGUGCAGGCGGUCUGUUAAGUCUAGGGUGAAAGCUCCCGGCUCAACUGGGAGAGGUCCUUGGAUACUGGCGGACUUGAGGGAGGCAGAGGAAAGUGGAAUUCCCGGUGUAGUGGUGAUAUGCGUAGAUAUCGGGAGGAACACCAGUGGCGAAGGCGACUACCUGGCCUGUUCUUGACGCUGAGGCGCGAAAGCUAGGGGAGCAAACGGG